rnacentral:rRNA from 1 species
AAACSGUUCGAGGGUAAACGGACAGAGCCCGUGAAUCCGGGCGACGGAAUUCAGAAUCGACGGCGUUCACGCGUCGUCGGUUCGAUAUUUCCGUCGCCGACAGUACACGGACGUCGCGACCCGUUCGGUGUCGGUCCGCAGGAGACGUGCGAAAGUUCGUGUGCGUCUGGCGGGGUUUCGGCCUCGUCGGGCGUUUCGCGAGUGCGCGUUUUUUUUUCUGGCCGACUCGCCGGACGGUAUGCGAAGCGGUGAUCGCGACGGCCUCUCGUCAGCGCCGUCGCGUUAUCCGGUCUGCGACGAAUCUUCGGGCCUCUUUCCCA